rnacentral:rRNA from 1 species
UCGAGAAUCUUUCACAAUGGGGGCAACCCUGAUGGAGCGACGCCGCGUGGAGGAUAAGGUCUUCGGAUUGUAAACUCCUGUCAUGCGCGAACAAGGUUGUCGGGUUAAUAACUUGGCAACUUGAUGGUACCGCAAGAGGAAGAGACGGCUAACUCUGUGCCAGCAGCCGCGGUAAUACAGAGGUCUCAAGCGUUGUUCGGAAUCACUGGGCGUAAAGGGUGCGUAGGUGGCGUGGUAAGUCAGAUGUGAAAGCCCGGGGCUCAACCUCGGAAUUGCAUCCGAUACUGCUAUGCUAGAGUACUGAAGAGGUGACUAGAAUUCUCGGUGUAGCAGUGAAAUGCGUAGAUAUCGAGAGGAAUACCAACGGCGAAGGCAGGUCACUGGGCAGUUACUGACACUGAGGCACGAAGGCUAGGGUAGCGAACG